GGAUCCCUCGCGGGUGCACCGCCG
rnacentral:siRNA from 1 species